rnacentral:rRNA from 1 species
UACGUAGGGUGCGAGCGUUAAUCGGAAUUACUGGGCGUAAAGCGUGCGCAGGCGGUUUUGCAAGCCGGAUGUGAAAUCCCCGGGCUCAACCUGGGAAUGGCAUUCGGGACUGCAAGGCUGGAGUGCGGCAGAGGAGACUGGAAUUCCUGGUGUAGCAGUGAAAUGCGUAGAUAUCAGGAGGAAUACCGAUGGCGAAGGCAGAUCUCUGGGCCGUAACUGACGCUGAGGAGCGAAAGCGUGGGGAGCGAACAGG